rnacentral:tRNA from 1 species
CUGCCCAUAGCUCAGUUGGAUAGAGCAUCGGCCUUCUAAGCCGACGGUCGGGGUUCGAAUCCCUCUGGGCAGGCCA